AUUGAACGCUGGCGGCAUGCCUAACACAUGCAAGUCGAACGAGUGGCGGACGGGUGAGUAAUGUCUGGGAAACUGCCCGAUGGAGGGGGAUAACUACUGGAAACGGUAGCUAAUACCGCAUACCAUCGGAUGUGCCCAGAUGGGAUUAGCUAUGGGGUGGGGUAACGGCUCACCUAGGCGACGAUCCCUAUCUGGUCUGAGAGGAUGACCAGCCACACUGGAACGGAGACACGGUCCAGACGCCUACGGGAGGCAGCAGGGGGGAAUAUUGCACAAUGGGCGCAAGCCUGAUACAGCCAUGCCGCGUGUAUGAAGAAGGCCUUCGGGUUGUAAAGUACUUUCAGCGAGGAGGCGUUACUCGCAGAAGAAGCACCGGCUAACUCCGUGCCAGCAGCCGCGGUAAUAC
rnacentral:rRNA from 1 species